rnacentral:lncRNA from 1 species
CCAUACGCUUCGCUUUCUCCUGCACCCAUGAGGGAGGGAUGGAUUGAUAUUGAUCAUAAAACAGAUUGGUGAGCUGCUGCUUGAUGAACCGCUGCUGCCACCCUUCAAUCGCCGAGAGUUUCGCUAAGAACGUUCAAAACUCACUCUAAAGGGAAGAGUUAGCCGAACUUCCAGUAAGCCAUGAAGAGAAUUCCUCUUGUCCGUUUUAAGUCGAACCUUACAAAAAUAAUAUUUUACAGACAUAAAUGUCAUCCAAAAAUGCUGGGAAAGCUUGCGCAAAGCGGAUUCCAACAACUCGCCUAAAUUCUGCUUACCCAGAACCUAUUCGAAUAGGAGACUGGCCCGGCGCAUGCCUACCAUGCCGGUUUUUAAGCUCAGUCGGGGACACCUAAUGAAGGUAGCUACGGGCAAUAACAAUGCACCAACCUUACCAUAUGGUAAAAUCAACCACUAGGAGAAUCUAGAGCUAACUGGAGUUCUGUUCCAUCCUUUGAUAGAGUCACGCACCUAUUUGAGUGAAAUCGUUUGGGUGAAGCUUGUG